rnacentral:lncRNA from 1 species
CGAGGGCGGGCCGCGGAGUCCCAUCCGGGCUGGGCGGGACUUCAACGCGGGGUGCCGAGGCCGCAUGGCCACAGCCCCUCCCUGCCGCUUUGCUCUGGCUCCGCUGGGUCCCAGAGACGCUGGGGCCGGAGCUGCUGCCGCCAUCUACACCUCUACCCUUCGUUUGACGGGUUCGCCUCCCACCAGCGCCUGGGCAAGUGACAUCUGGGCCGGACCGGCUGGUGCUGCGCUUCGCAGCCCAUGUCCAUCACUCCUUAUGCGCCCUGCACCUGCUGUGUGGAAGAAGCAGUCGCUGUGAAAUGGGGGAACGUAGGAGGAUCUGGUGACACAUACCUCCCUGAACAUA